ACUCCCACUCACUGUACUCCCUGCCACCACUAACUCAUACUCACUGCCACCAAUAACCCAUACUCACUAUACUCACUGCCACCACUAACUUGUACUCACUAUACCCACUGCUUCCUCUCACUCACUACACUCACUGCUAAUUCAAAGCUUGUCCAACAGGACCGUUGAUAUUAUAGUUCUUAUGUGUAUCCUUCAUUGUAAAGGACAUUCCAGGGUGGAGUUCUUG